GAGCAUAUCCAUGGGCAAAUCGGGGGCUACGACCCUUCAACUUAUCAGUUUUAAGUAAGAUUGCUGUUGGUGGCUAGAGAGGACGUUGGCAGUUCUGACUUAUCCUUAUAAUAGUAGGACAUUCCUGGUAUUGUAUAACUAGUACUUAUCCUACUGGACUGCACCUAGACUUUAUGCUCUGAUUAGGAGUAUUACUGUUGUACUUAACUCCUACCACUUUCAGUUUUGAAGUGCACACUAGUAAUAUGGUUUUUUAAUUA